GUGGGGAAUUUUGGACAAUGGGCGCAAGCCUGAUCUAGCCAUGCCGCGUGAGCGAUGAAGGCCUUAGGGUUGUAAAGCUCUUUCGUGGGGGAAGAUAAUGACUGUACCCCAAGAAGAAGCCCCGGCUAACUCCGUGCCAGCAGCCGCGGUAAUACGGAGGGGGCUAGCGUUGUUCGGAAUUACUGGGCGUAAAGCGCACGUAGGCGGACUGGAAAGUCAGGGGUGAAAUCCCGGGGCUCAACCCCGGAACUGCCUUUGAAACUCCCAGUCUUGAGUUCGAGAGAGGUGAGUGGAAUUCCGAGUGUAGAGGUGAAAUUCGUAGAUAUUCGGAGGAACACCAGUGGCGAAGGCGGCUCACUGGCUCGAUACUGACGCUGAGGUGCGAAAGCGUGGGGAGCAAACAGGAUUAGAUACCCGGGUAGUCC
rnacentral:rRNA from 1 species